rnacentral:rRNA from 1 species
CCUUUGUGACAUACCUAUAACUGUUGCUUCGGCGGGUAGGGUCUCCGUGACCCUCCCGGCCUCCCGCCCCCGGGCGGGUCGGCGCCCGCCGGAGGAUAACCAAACUCUGAUUUAACGACGUUUCUUCUGAGUGGUACAAGCAAAUAAUCAAAACUUUUAACAACGGAUCUCUUGGUUCUGGCAUCGAUGAAGAACGCAGCGAAAUGCGAUAAGUAAUGUGAAUUGCAGAAUUCAGUGAAUCAUCGAAUCUUUGAACGCACAUUGCGCCCGCCAGCAUUCUGGCGGGCAUGCCUGUUCGAGCGUCAUUUCAACCCUCAAGCUCUGCUUGGUGUUGGGGCCCUACAGCUGAUGUAGGCCCUCAAAGGUAGUGGCGGACCCUCCCGGAGCCUCCUUUGCGUAGUAACUUUACGUCUCGCACUGGGAUCCGGAGGGACUCUUGCCGUAAAACCCCCAAUUUUCCAAAGGUUGACCUCGGAUCAGGUAGGAAUACCCGCUGAACUUAAGCAUAUCAAUAAGCGGA